CUGGCGCGGAGGCAAGUGAGAGCGGCUGGAGUUUUGCAUGACAGCGGAUCAACAAUCACAUUGCCGGCGAAGCCAGAUGAGGAAGCAGUUUAAGGUGUGAAUUUCUUCUUCGCCCCCAUAGAACAGUGACGACCAUCAUUUUUGUCUUCACAUAGAGAGAUGCUUUGUGAACAAGGUUCUGCAGUGAUGUGAUUACAGGACAAUCUCAGCUUUUAGUUCUUUUCUCUCCUCCCCCGCCCCCCCUCCCAAACUUUAAAAUUUCAGAAAAUUUACUUGAUAGCAGAUGUUGGCUUGGAGAUCAAGUGGAACAAAUCUUUUUGUCAAGGCAUUAACAUUUCCGCAGAGCUCUUCAUUUGUCCAGAAUUAGCUCAGGGUUUUGUAAAACUGUUUGUUUUUGUUUACAGAAAUUAUUACACAGAAAAGGCUCCUAACUAAUAGCUAGAAGAAGUAAUGCUUUAUAGCAUAUUAAUCAAAUUUAAGUAUAUUCUGAAUGCCCACAUUGUAUUAUCCGUAAUGUGUUGCUAAGUCACCUUGAAUAUUCUAGCGUCUGAUAUUUCCUGUGAUUGCAUUAAAAACAAUAUCAUAAUUGUUAAGUAAACAUUUUGCAGAAAAAUAGCUUUAUGUCCAAUACAGUUGAUUCUUAGCCAUAGGCAUAAUACAAAUAUAAUACUGCUUUCUUUGUACACAGAAUCCUUAAGGUUGUCUUAAUGGACCUUAGACCAAAUAUGUUUUUGUUGUUAAAAUACAGUGGGCUUGUUUCUUCAGUCACAUCAGUUUUACAUUGGUUUAAUUCCACUGUCUUCAGCGCUUACUCCUGAUUUGCUCCAGAGAGAGAUCAAAAUCAAGCCCAGUGUGUAUCAGAGUAAGUAAUGUAAAAGUUAUCUAGAUGGACGCUGGGUGGUUACAGACAUUAUCCUUGUCAUUUGAUUUAACAGGGAUCCCCAGCAUUGCAACUGAUGGAAUGUGACCUAUGGAGUUCUGUUAGGGUAACCAGAUGUCCCGAUUUUAUAGGGACAGUCCCGA